rnacentral:rRNA from 1 species
AUUGAACGCUGGCGGCAUGCCUUACACAUGCAAGUCGAACGGCAGCACGGACUUCGGUCUGGUGGCGAGUGGCGAACGGGUGAGUAAUGUAUCGGAACGUACCCUUCAGUGGGGGGUAACUAUCCGAAAGGAUAGCUAAUACCGCAUAUUCUCUGAGGAGGAAAGCGGGGGAUCGCAAGACCUCGCGCUGAUGGAGCGGCCGAUAUCGGAUUAGCUAGUUGGUGGGGUAAAGGCCUACCAAGGCGACGAUCUGUAGCGGGUCUGAGAGGAUGAUCCGUCACACUGGGACUGAGACACGGCCCAGACUCCUACGGGAGGCAGCAGUGGGGAAUUUUGGACAAUGGGGGCAACCCUGAUCCAGCCAUGCCGCGUGAGUGAAGAAGGCCUUCGGGUUGUAAAGCUCUUUCGGCCGGGAAGAAAUCGCGUGAGUUAAUACCUUGCGUGGAUGACGGUACCGGAAUAAGAAGCACCGGCUAACUACGUGCCAGCAGCCGCCGUAACAC